rnacentral:rRNA from 1 species
UACGGAGGGGGCUAGCGUUGUUCGGAAUUACUGGGCGUAAAGCGUGCGUAGGUGGUUUGUUAAGUCUGUUGUGAAAGCCCCGGGCUCAACCUGGGAACUGCAUUUGUGACUGCACAGCUGGAGUGCGGCAGAGGGGGAUGGAAUUCCGCGUGUAGCAGUGAAAUGCGUAGAUAUGCGGAGGAACACCGAUGGCGAAGGCAAUCCCCUGGGCCUGCACUGACGCUCAUGCACGAAGCGUGGGGAGCAAACAGGAUAGAA